CAGAGCCGAAAUCCCAGAGCAGUGAAAGAGGAGCCAGUGUCAUGGGGCUUCUGGUUUCAGGACACACUGGAAAGGUUUUUCCUGAAGAACACUCCCCCAGUAAAUCACGUGUACCUAAAAAAAAAAA
rnacentral:misc_RNA from 1 species